UGAGGAAUAUUGGUCAAUGGGGGAAACCCUGAACCAGCAACGCCGCGUGAAGGAUGAAGGUUUUCGGAUUGUAAACUUCUUUUAUUGGGGAAGAUAGUGACGGUACCCAAUGAAUAAGCCACGGCUAACUACGUGCCAGCAGCCGCGGUAAUACGUAGGUGGCGAGCGUUGUCCGGAAUUACUGGGUGUAAAGGGCGAGUAGGCGGGAUUGCAAGUCAGAUGUGAAAUGCGGAAGCUCAACUUCCGAGCUGCAUUUGAAACUGUAAUUCUUGAGUGAUGGAGAGGCAGGCGGAAUUCCCGGUGUAGCGGUGGAAUGCAUAGAUAUCGGGAGGAACACCAGUGGCGAAGGCGGCCUGCUGGACAUUAACUGACGCUGAGGAGCGAAAGCGUGGGGAGCAAACA
rnacentral:rRNA from 1 species